GGUUAAGCGACUAAGCGUACACGGUGGAUGCCCUGGCAGUCAGAGGCGAUGAAGGACGUGCUAAUCUGCGAAAAGCGUCGGUAAGGUGAUAUGAACCGUUACAGCCGGCGAUGUCCGAAUGGGGAAACCCAGUGCAAUUCGUUGCACUAUCGUUAACUGAAUACAUAGGUUAACGAGGCGAACCGGGGGAACUGAAACAUCUAAGUACCCCGAGGAAAAGAAAUCAACCGAGAUUCCCCCAGUAGCGGCGAGCGAACGGGGAGCAGCCCAGAGUCUGAAUCAGCUUGUGUGUUAGUGGAACGGUCUGGAAAGUCCGACGGUACAGGGUGAUAGUCCCGUACACCAAAAUGCACAGGUUGUGAACUCGAAGAGUAGGGCGGGACACGUGGUAUCCUGUCUGAAUAUGGGGGGACCAUCCUCCAAGGCUAAAUACUCCUGACUGACCGAUAGUGAACCAGUACCGUGAGGGAAAGGCGAAAAGAACCCCGGCGAGGGGAGUGAAAAAGAACCUGAAACCGUGUACGUACAAGCAGUGGGAGCACCUUCGGGUGUGACUGCGUACCUUUUGUAUAAUGGGUCAGCGACUUAUAUUCUGUAGCAAGGUUAACCGUAUAGGGGAGCCGCAGGGAAACCGAGUCUUAACUGGGCGUUAAGUUGCAGGGUAUAGACCCGAAACCCGGUGAUCUAGCCAUGGGCAGGUUGAAGGUUGGGUAACACUAACUGGAGGACCGAACCGACUAAUGUUGAAAAAUUAGCGGAUGACUUGUGGCUGGGGGUGAAAGGCCAAUCAAACCGGGAGAUAGCUGGUUCUCCCCGAAAGCUAUUUAGGUAGCGCCUCGUGAAUUCAUCUUCGGGGGUAGAGCACUGUUUCGGCUAGGGGGUCAUCCCGACUUACCAACCCGAUGCAAACUACGAAUACCGAAGAAUGUUAUCACGGGAGACACACGGCGGGUGCUAACGUCCGUCGUGAAGAGGGAAACAACCCAGACCGCCAGCUAAGGUCCCAAAGUCAUGGUUAAGUGGGAAACGAUGUGGGAAGGCACAGACAGCCAGGAUGUUGGCUUAGAAGCAGCCAUCAUUUAAAGAAAGCGUAAUAGCUCACUGGUCGAGUCGGCCUGCGCGGAAGAUGUAACGGGGCUAAACCAUGCACCGAAGCUGCGGCAGCGACACUAUGUGUUGUUGGGUAGGGGAGCGUUCUGUAAGCCUGCGAAGGUGUGCUGUGAGGCAUGCUGGAGGUAUCAGAAGUGCGAAUGCUGACAUAAGUAACGAUAAAGCGGGUGAAAAGCCCGCUCGCCGGAAGACCAAGGGUUCCUGUCCAACGUUAAUCGGGGCAGGGUGAGUCGACCCCUAAGGCGAGGCCGAAAGGCGUAGUCGAUGGGAAACAGGUUAAUAUUCCUGUACUUGGUGUUACUGCGAAGGGGGGACGGAGAAGGCUAUGUUAGCCGGGCGACGGUUGUCCCGGUUUAAGCAUGUAGGCUGGUUAUCCAGGCAAAUCCGGAUAAUCAAGGCUGAGGUGUGAUGACGAGGCACUACGGUGCUGAAGUAACAAAUGCCCUGCUUCCAGGAAAAGCCUCUAAGCAUCAGGUAACAUCAAAUCGUACCCCAAACCGACACAGGUGGUCAGGUAGAGAAUACCAAGGCGCUUGAGAGAACUCGGGUGAAGGAACUAGGCAAAAUGGUGCCGUAACUUCGGGAGAAGGCACGCUGGUGUGUAGGUGAAGUCCCUGCGGAUGGAGCUGAGACCAGUCGAAGAUACCAGCUGGCUGCAACUGUUUAUUAAAAACACAGCACUGUGCAAACACGAAAGUGGACGUAUACGGUGUGACGCCUGCCCGGUGCCGGAAGGUUAAUUGAUGGGGUUAUCCGUAAGGAGAAGCUCUUGAUCGAAGCCCCGGUAAACGGCGGCCGUAACUAUAACGGUCCUAAGGUAGCGAAAUUCCUUGUCGGGUAAGUUCCGACCUGCACGAAUGGCGUAAUGAUGGCCAGGCUGUCUCCACCCGAGACUCAGUGAAAUUGAACUCGCUGUGAAGAUGCAGUGUACCCGCGGCAAGACGGAAAGACCCCGUGAACCUUUACUAUAGCUUGACACUGAACAUUGAGCCUUGAUGUGUAGGAUAGGUGGGAGGCUUUGAAGCGUGGACGCCAGUCUGCGUGGAGCCAACCUUGAAAUACCACCCUUUAAUGUUUGAUGUUCUAACGUUGGCCCCUUACCGGGGUUGCGGACAGUGUCUGGUGGGUAGUUUGACUGGGGCGGUCUCCUCCCAAAGCGUAACGGAGGAGCACGAAGGUUAGCUAAUCCUGGUCGGACAUCAGGAGGUUAGUGCAAUGGCAUAAGCUAGCUUGACUGCGAGCGUGACGGCGCGAGCAGGUGCGAAAGCAGGUCAUAGUGAUCCGGUGGUUCUGAAUGGAAGGGCCAUCGCUCAACGGAUAAAAGGUACUCCGGGGAUAACAGGCUGAUACCGCCCAAGAGUUCAUAUCGACGGCGGUGUUUGGCACCUCGAUGUCGGCUCAUCACAUCCUGGGGCUGAAGUAGGUCCCAAGGGUAUGGCUGUUCGCCAUUUAAAGUGGUACGCGAGCUGGGUUUAGAACGUCGUGAGACAGUUCGGUCCCUAUCUGCCGUGGGCGCUGGAGAAUUGAGGGGGGCUGCUCCUAGUACGAGAGGACCGGAGUGGACGCAUCACUGGUGUUCGGGUUGUCAUGCCAAUGGCACUGCCCGGUAGCUAAAUGCGGAAGAGAUAAGUGCUGAAAGCAUCUAAGCACGAAACUUGCCCCGAGAUGAGUUCUCCCUGAGACUUUAAGUCUCCUGAAGGAACGUUGAAGACGACGACGUUGAUAGGCCGGGUGUGUAAGCGCAGCGAUGCGUUGAGCUAACCGGUACUAAUGAACCGUGAGGCUUAACCUU
rnacentral:rRNA from 1 species